CCUAAAAAUAAGACAACAGGAUGGUUUAGCAGCUCUCUAAACCUCAAAAACCUAUCUUAUCAGUUGAACAUUGUUUUUCAUGGAACAAAUACCUGAGAAGGUGGAUUGAUUGAGCAGGGAAAAUGAUGAGCAGGGCUUGCAGUCUCUUCCAAUUGUGGCAGACCCCUAACAGAUUACCACUCACACUCUCCAAAAUUUCAAAAGGUCCUCACUUGAUACCGAGUGCUAGAAAUUAUCCGGUUCUGUGCUUCUGCAAGGAAAUACAAACUAGCACAUACGAAGUUGUCAAGGGAAGCUAUGUACCGUCAGCCGUUGUAGAACGGGAAAGCAAAUAGAAGG